rnacentral:rRNA from 1 species
GACGUAGGGGGCCAGCGUUGUUCGGAAUUACUGGGCGUAAAGGGUUCGUAGGCGGUGCGGCAAGUUGGGAGUGAAAUCUCUGGGCUUAACCCAGAGGCUGCUUCCAAAACUGCUGUGCUUGAGUGUGGGAGAGGCGCGUGGAAUUGCAGGUGUAGCGGUGAAAUGCGUAGAUAUCUGCAGGAACACCCGUGGCGAAAGCGGCGCGCUGGACCACUACUGACGCUGAGGAACGAAAGCUAGGGGAGCAAACGGG